CAGCUCUCUGCCUUCCAGCCAGAUGUUGUCAUUGCAGCAGGUAAUGCCCAGCCCUGGGCAUCCUGUGCAGGCGGUGUCCUUGCAGCUCUACCCAGCUCUUGGCUCUGGGAAAAGGGAACAAUGGAUGCUGUCGGGCAUGGACAUGAUGGGGCUUCCAGAAGAGUUACUCCGGGCCUCCAGGGUGACAUCAAAGGACAGGGGUGCCUCUUAAGGUGACCUUCAAGCCACAGCCCUCUUGUUGGAGACAGGCAUACUCCCGUUACAGUCGUCACCACAUGGCUCUGUCCCAGAGCCAUGCCCUGUGUCCUUCAGAGACCACAGGAGGAAAACAACCACUUCUGGGAUGAGGACAGGGCCCUUGAGAGAAGGUGGUGUUUGGCUGGGCCACCAAAAACCCCUCGCCCCUGCCAGCACACUCAGUCUCCUCUCUGGUGGAACAGAGCUCUGCCUGUGGUCCUGGGUCCCAGCCCUGAAACCCACAGGUCCAGCGGUGGCCAGGGACAGAGGCCCACCCCUGCAAGCCAGCAGACCAAUCGGCAGACACCUGAAACACGAAGUUCACGGCAGGGUCAGGCUUUCUGCCAUUCAAAGCCCUCUAGAUAGGCUGAGAACCAGAGCAGGUUUUUUAAGGAACACCAGUGAGUCUGGAGAUUUUUUUCUUUUGCUUCGGUCUUUUGCAGCUUUCUCUACUAAGGGUUCUCCUUUUUCACCCAAGUAAUUGCCCUUCCAUCUAAUGGCCCAAAUGGUCAAAUGGCAUCUAAUAGUCUCAUAUGAACGCUGCCUCUCUGGCCUCACCCUGCUGCUGAGGUCAGCAUGAACUGGAACUUUCCACUUGUCCCUUUCAGUAACCUGAAGCUUUCACCGUAGACGUGCUGUAUUGCCCAGAAGCCAUCGUGUCGCUGGUCAGGGUCCUGCGGAGGCUGGCUGCCUGCUGGGAGCACCAGCGGGCUCCUGAGGUCUACAUGGCCUUUACCGUCCACAACCCAGAGACGUGCCAGCUGUUCACCACUGAGCUAGGCUGGGCUGGGAUCAGAUGGGAAGCGGAAGCUCAUCAUGACCAGAAACUGUUUCCCUAUGGAGAGCACUUGGAGAUGGCAAUGCUGAACCUCACACUGUAGGACUCAUACACGACUCCAAUGGGAUUGUUAGAAUCAAAUCACUCUCGUGGGAAGAAUUUUUAUAUGGGAAAGCGGAUAAAACUUUCAUUGGACUGGAAUGUUUGGAGAAUGUUAAAUUCCAAAUCAGGAACCACAAUCCACCCUCUAAUAAGACAUCGGCUAUCUAAGCGUGUGGGUGCCCCCUUUCUGCCAGCAGUUCUGGUUCUUAAGAAAAUCACCAUAAAUCAGACAUGAAAAUUCUGGCUCCAAAAGUAGCAUUUUUUUGUGCAAAUAAAAACGUGUGUAUCAAGUAUGACGUUCCCCCAACGUGGACACACUCGGUUCCUCACAAAGCCAAGCCCGCUGCAGCUGCCACAUCCCUGGACACACUCGGUUCCUCACAAAGCCAAGCCCGCUGCAGCUGCCACAUCCCUGGACACACUCGGUUCCUCACAAAGCCAAGCCCGCUGCAGCUGCCACAUCCCUGGGCUUAUGGUGCAGCGGGUGCUUUUUUCAAGACAGGAAUCAAAGUGUUAGGAACAUGGCAGAAAGGUGACACCUGGAGACCAAAUGCAGGAUGAGAAGUACUGCAGAGGUCACAGGGAAGUCACAGAACAGUAAUACGCUAGCAGGGACAUGGGGCGUGAAGAACAGAAGAAGACAGGAAGCAUUUCAGAGACUCCAAAGAAGAAAUCAGGGCCAACCACAGCUUCCCGGGUCAUUCACCAGGUGGCACCACUGCCGUCAUUUCAGCUUCUGGCCACUGGGAGGUGCUGCUGGAAAGGGUUUGCCCUGAGACUCCAAGAAGAAGCUGCGGGAAGGACAGCAGGGGCCCUGGGGUUUUAGCCUCUGGCCCAGGAGUUAUGUGUCCAUAACCAAAGGGAGCACAGUCUGCACCCAGCUCUCAUCCCAUCAGAGCUGCUGUGACUCCCGCAGGUUCUUCCAGAACUGGUUUAGCUUGCCUGCAGGAUCAGGAAAGUUUGAGAAAAGCAUCUGCAAAAUACUGAAGAGCAGAGCUUACCUCAUUGCCUGUCCCCACCCCAUUCCAGGUCACCACCUGGAUGACCCCAGCUCCCCAACCCAACAACAACCCCUCCCAAGUCCCUAACUCCCUCACUUGGACUUGAGACCCUUCACACCCCAGCAGCGCUCCGCCUCCAUCUUGACAUCAUGCUUUCUGGAAACUUCCCCGUAUGUCCCACUUUCCCACACUUGGUGCCCUGGAGCACCUUCCGGCCUCUACAUGAUGUACGUUCCCCUGUGAGCACCCUCCUCUCGGCCUCUGGCCAACACAGUCCCACCCAUCUGUGGGUAACAAGGGGGUGUUCUUUUCAGCCUUGCUAAACUGUCUGAAUCAAGGAUCACAAACUACAGCCUGCAGGCCAAAUCCAGCCCACAGCCUGUGUUUGUAAAUAAAGCUUUAUUGGAACAAAG
rnacentral:lncRNA from 1 species